rnacentral:rRNA from 1 species
GACGAACGCUGGCGGCGUGCCUAAUACAUGCAAGUAGGACGCACAGCUUAUACCGUAGCUUGCUACACCAUAGACUGUGAGUUGCGAACGGGUGAGUAACGCGUAGGUAACCUGCCUAUUAGAGGGGGAUAACUAUUGGAAACGAUAGCUAAUACCGCAUAACAGUAUGUAACACAUGUUAGAUGCUUGAAAGAUGCAAUUGCAUCGCUAGUAGAUGGACCUGCGUUGUAUUAGCUAGUAGGUAGGGUAAUGGCCUACCUAGGCGACGAUACAUAGCCGACCUGAGAGGGUGAUCGGCCACACUGGGACUGAGACACGGCCCAGACUCCUACGGGAGGCAGCAGUAGGGAAUCUUCGGCAAUGGGGGGAACCCUGACCGAGCAACGCCGCGUGAGUGAAGAAGGUUUUCGGAUCGUAAAGCUCUGCUGUUAAGGAAGAACGAGUGUGAAAAUGGAAAGUUCAUACUGUGACGGUACUUAACCAGAAAGGGACGGCUAACUACGUGCCAGCAGCCGCGGUAAUACGUAGGUCCCGAGCGUUGUCCGGAUUUAUUGGGCGUAAAGCGAGCGCAGGCGGUUAGAAAAGUCUGAAGUGAAAGGCAGUGGCUCAACCAUUGUAGGCUUUGGAAACUGUUUAACUUGAGUGCAGAAGGGGAGAGUGAAAUUCCAUGUGUAGCGGUGAAAUGCGUAGAUAUAUGGAGGAACACCGGUGGCGAAAGCGGCUCUCUGGUCUGUAACUGACGCUGAGGCUCGAAAGCGUGGGGAGCGAACAGG